AUUGAACGCUGGCGGCGUGCCUAAUACAUGCAAGUCGAACGGAGUGGCGCACGGGUGAGUAAUGUAUAACUAAUCUGCCCUACACUAGAGGACAACAGUUGGAAACGACUGCUAAUACUCUAUAGUGUAGGAGGGGGUUAUAUUGUAUCAGCUAGUUGGUGAGGUAAUGGCGCACGAAGGCUAUGACGCAUAACUGGUCUGAGGGGAUGAUCAGUCACACUGUAACGGAGGCACGGUCCAGAAUCCUUGGGGAGGGAGCAGUAGGGAAGUAUGCUCAAGGGGGGAGUCUCUGAAGCAUCUACGCAGCGUGGAGGAUGACAAGUUUCGAAGCGUAAACUCCUUUUGUUAGGGAAGCGGUACCUAACGAAUAAGCACCGGCUAACUCCGUGCCAGCAGCCGCGGUAAUAC
rnacentral:rRNA from 1 species